rnacentral:rRNA from 1 species
UAGCAUAUCAAUAAGCGGAGGAAAAGAAACUAACAAGGAUUCCCCUAGUAACUGCGAGUGAAGCGGGAAAAGCUCAAAUUUAAAAUCUGGCGGUCUUUGGCCGUCCGAGUUGUAGUCUGGAGAAGUGCUUUCCGCGCUGGACCGUGUACAAGUCUCUUGGAACAGAGCGUCAUAGAGGGUGAGAAUCCCGUCUUUGACACGGACUACCAGUGCUUUGUGAUGCGCUCUCAAAGAGUCGAGUUGUUUGGGAAUGCAGCUCAAAAUGGGUGGUGAAUUCCAUCUAAAGCUAAAUAUUGGCGAGAGACCGAUAGCGAACAAGUACCGUGAGGGAAAGAUGAAAAGCACUUUGGAAAGAGAGUUAAACAGUACGUGAAAUUGCUGAAAGGGAAACGCUUGAAGUCAGUCGCGUUGAUUGGAACUCAGCCUUGCUCCGGCUUGGUGCACUUUCCAGUCGACGGGCCAGCAUCGAUUUUGAUCGUCGGAAAAGGGCCGGAGUAAUGUGGCACCUCCGGGUGUGUUAUAGACUCUGGUCGCAUACGGCGGUUGGGAUCGAGGGACGCAGCGCGCCGCAAGGCAGGGGCUUUUGCCUACUUUCGCGCUUAGGAUGCUGGCAUAAUGGCUUUAAACGACCCGUCUUGAAACACGGACCAAGGAGUCUAACAUGCCUGCGAGUGUUUGGGUGGAAAACCCGAGCGCGCAAUGAAAGUGAAAGUUGAGACCUCUGUCGUGGAGGGCAUCGACGCCCGGACCUGACGUUCUCUGACGGAUCCGCGGUAGAGCAUGUAUGUUGGGACCCGAAAGAUGGUGAACUAUGCCUGAAUAGGGUGAAGCCAGAGGAAACUCUGGUGGAGGCUCGUAGCGAUUCUGACGUGCAAAUCGAUCGUCAAAUUUGGGUAUAGGGGCGAAAGACUAAUCGAACCAUCUAGUAGCUGGUUCCUGCCG